GAACCAAUGCUUAGAGCGCUCGCUCUAAUUCUUUGCUAUUGUCUUAGGUGUGACCCCCCUAGCAAGCAUCUUCUAUUCCAUCCGGUCCUACUUGGGAACAACACUCUUAUAACCACCUGAUCCCAUAUGAUGGUGGUAUGUCUUUUUACUUGCAUUCUCUUUGUUUCUAAUGGCUCAUUCCUCGCUCUCUUUUGAUGUUUUGUACUGCACGAAGUCAUCCCAGAAGGCCCUCAGCUUUACAUAUUGCUUGAGGUUGAAAUUUGAAGUCUUGUUUUUCUUGACA
rnacentral:lncRNA from 1 species